CAACCCUCAAGCUUUGCUUGGUAUUAGAUGCAAUCGCUAUGAUUCAUCUCAAAAUCAGUGGCGGUGCCAUUUGGCUUCCAGCGUAGUAAUUUUCUCGCUGUGGAGGACUGGGUGUGUGCUUGCCAACAACCUCUAAAUUUUAUAA
rnacentral:misc_RNA from 1 species